rnacentral:rRNA from 1 species
GACGAACGCUGGCGGCGUGCCUAAUACAUGCAAGUAGGACGCAGUUGCGAACGGGUGAGUAACGCGUAGGUAACUACCUAUUAGUGGGGGAUAACUAUUGGAAACGAUAGCUAAUACCGCAUACUAGUAGAUGGACCUGCGUUGUAUUAGCUAGUAGGUAGGGUAAUGGCCUACCUAGGCAACGAUACAUAGCCGACCAUGACGGGUGGUCGGCCAGACUGGGACUGAGACACUGCCCAGACUCCUACGGGAGGCAGCAGUAGGGAAACUUCGGAAAUGGGGGGAAGCCUGACCGAGCAACGCCGCGUGAGUGAAGAAGGUUUUCGGAUCGUAAAACUCUGUUGUUAAGGAAGCGGUACUUAACCAGAAAGGGACGGCUAACUACGUGCCAGCAGCCGCGGUAAUAC